rnacentral:RNase_P_RNA from 1 species
GGAGUAAACCAAACGAUCGCUGGGCCGGGAAAUCGGCCUGGAGGAAAGUCCGAACACCAUAGGGCAGGGUGCUCCAUAACGUGGAGUCGCGGUGACGCGAAGGAAAGUGCAACAGAAAGGAUACCGCCCCGCGCAAGCAGGGUAAGGGUGAAAUGGUGCGGUAAGAGCGCACCAGCUCCCCGGGUGACCGGGGAGCUCGGCAAACCCCACCCGGUGCAAGACCAAAUAGGGAAACGCUUGAGGGCUGCCCGCCCGAGUUUCCGGGUAGGUCGCUUGAAGUGAUGAGCAAUCAUCAUUCCAGAGGAAUGAUCGUUGCCUGGUUUUAGGGCAACCUGAAUCAGGAACAGAAUUCGGCUUACGGGUUACUCCGGCC